AAUAGAUACCCGGGUAGUCCACGCCCUAAACGAUGUCUACUAGUUGUCGGGUCUUAAUUGACUUGGUAACGCAGCUAACGCGUGAAGUAGACCGCCUGGGGAGUACGGUCGCAAGAUUAAAACUCAAAGGAAUUGACGGGGACCCGCACAAGCGGUGGAUGAUGUGGAUUAAUUCGAUGCAACGCGAAAAACCUUACCUACCCUUGACAUGGUCGGAAUCCUGGAGAGAUCCGGGAGUGCUCGAAAGAGAACCGAUACACAGGUGCUGCAUGGCUGUCGUCAGCUCGUGUCGUGAGAUGUUGGGUUAAGUCCCGCAACGAGCGCAACCCUUGUCAUUAGUUGCUACGAAAGGGCACUCUAAUGAGACUGCCGGUGACAAACCGGAGGAAGGUGGGGAUGACGUCAAGUCCUCAUGGCCCUUAUGGGUAGGGCUUCACACGUCAUACAAUGGUGCAUACAGAGGGCUGCCAACCCGCAGGGGGAGCUAAUCCCAGAAAGUGCAUCGUAGUCCGGAUUGUAGU
rnacentral:rRNA from 1 species